rnacentral:antisense_RNA from 1 species
ACCAACCAGCCCAAGAAACAUCUCACCAAUUUCAAAUCUGCGGCCAGGCAUUCCUCCAGAACCUCCUCCCCCAGGAGCCUGCUACACGUACCGGAAAUCUGGCCACUGGGCCAAGGAAUGCCUGCAGCCUGGGAUUCCUCCUAAGCUGUGUCCCAUCUGUGUGGGACCCCACUGAAAAUCGGACUAUUCAACUCACCUGGCAGCCACUCCCAGAGCCCCUGGAACUCUGCCCAAGGCUCUCUGACUCCUUCCCAGAUCUUCUCGGCGUAGCAGCUGAAGACUGACACUGCCCGAUCGCCUCGGAAGCCCCCUAGACCAUCACGCAUGCUGAGCUUCAGGUAACUCUCACAGUGGAAGAUUGUCUUACAGGUGGGCCAGUAUGUACAACCUAACACUGAGUUUUCAAGGAACAAGUUUCUGUUGCUGCUGCUCUAGCAUUCAUGCACUGUGGAGCCAGGAAACUUCUCGGGACAAGGAGCACAAUGCCAGGCCUUGUCGAGGGCCGCUGCAGUGGAGAGGCCAGACCGGGGUUGCCAGAGCCAACCGCAGACCAAGGAAGUGAACCCUGCACAUCCGGAUACUUGAAAUGUCAGCUUGUGGAGGAUCUCCCGCAGGAAUCUGACUUUAUACACAAACAAAGACAUUGAGCUUUCUGCUGAGGUGAGCUCAGAACGGAUGAACUUAGUCUUCUCUGCAGUGAUGCAAGCCUCUGUCAUGUGGAAGUUACAGAUGAUGCUAGUGAAAUGUGGAUGGUCUCCUGGCCCACCGCAUCAUGCAAGAGGGCUGCUU